rnacentral:rRNA from 1 species
GACGAACGCUGGCGGCGUGCCUAAUACAUGCAAGUCGAACGCAGUGGGGACGGGUGAGUAACACGUGGGUAACCUACCAUCAGAGGGGAUAAAACUUGGAAACAGGUGCUAAACCGAUACUGAUGGAUGGAUCCGCGGUGCAUUAGCUAGUUGGUGAGGUAACGGCUCACAAAGGCGACGAUGCAUAGCCGACCUGGUAGGUGGAUCGGCCACACGGGGACUGGGACACGGCCCAGACUCCUACGGGAGGCAGCAGUAUGGAACCUUCGGCAAUGGACGAAAGUCUGACCGAGCGACGCCGCGUGAGUGAAGAAGGUUUUCGGAGCGUAAAACUCUGUUGUUAGAGAAGCGGUAUCUAACCAGAAAGCCACGGCUAACUACGUGCCAGCAGCCGCGGUAAUUC